rnacentral:tRNA from 1 species
GGAGCUAUAGCUCAGUGGCAAAGUGCUUGCCAAGCAUGCAGGAGAUCCUGGUUUGAUCCCAGUAUCCCUC